rnacentral:rRNA from 1 species
UACGGGGGGGGCAAGCGUUGUUCGGAAUUACUGGGCGUAAAGGGCUCGUAGGCGGCCAACUAAGUCAGACGUGAAAUCCCUCGGCUCACCCGAGGACCUGCAUCCCAAACUGCUUGGCUUGAGUAUGGGAGAGGAUGAGGGAAUUCCUGGUGUAGCAGUGAAAUGCGUAGAUAUCAUAAGGAACACCGGUGGCGAAGGCGGUUACCUGGAAGAUUCCUGACUCUGAAACACGAAAGCCAGGGGAGCAAACGGG